ACUCCGGUUGAUCCUG
rnacentral:rRNA from 1 species